CUGCGAAUGGCUCAUUAUAUAAGUUAUCGUUUAUUUGAUAGUACCUUACUACUUGGAUAACCGUGGUAAUUCUAGAGCUAAUACAUGCUAAAAAUCCCGACUUCGGAAGGGAUGUAUUUAUUAGAUUAAAAACCAAUGCCCUCUGGGCUCCUUGGUGAUUCAUGAUAACUCUUCGAAUCGCACGGCCUUGCGCCGGCGAUGGUUCAUUCAAAUUUCUUCCCUAUCAACUUUCGAUGUUUGGGUCUUGGCCAAACAUGGUCGCAACGGGUAACGGAGGGUUAGGGCUCGACCCCGGAGAAGGAGCCUGAGAAACGGCUACUACAUCCAAGGAAGGCAGCAGGCGCGCAAAUUACCCAAUCCCGAUUCGGGGAGGUAGUGACAAUAAAUACUGAUACAGGGCUCUUUUGGGUCUUGUAAUUGGAAUGAGUACAAUUUAAAUCCCUUAACGAGGAACAAUUGGAGGGCAAGUCUGGUGCCAGCAGCCGCGGUAAUUCCAGCUCCAAUAGCGUAUAUUAAAGUUGUUGUGGUUAAAAAGCUCGUAGUUGAACCUUGGGCCUGGCUGGCCGGUCCGCCUCACCGCGUGUACUGGUCCGGCCGGGCCUUUCCCUCUGUGGAACCCCAUGCCCUUCACUGGGUGUGGCGGGGAAACAGGACUUUUACUUUGAAAAAAUUAGAGUGCUCCAGGCAGGCCUAUGCUCGAAUACAUUAGCAUGGAAUAAUGAAAUAGGACGCGUGGUUCUAUUUUGUUGGUUUCUAGGACCGCCGUAAUGAUUAAUAGGGACAGUCGGGGGCAUCAGUAUUCAAUUGUCAGAGGUGAAAUUCUUGGAUUUAUUGAAGACUAACUACUGCGAAAGCAUUUGCCAAGGAUGUUUUCAUUAAUCAGGAACGAAAGUUAGGGGAUCGAAGACGAUCAGAUACCGUCGUAGUCUUAACCAUAAACUAUGCCGACUAGGGAUCGGACGAUGUUAUUUUUUGACGCGUUCGGCACCUUACGAGAAAUCAAAGUGCUUGGGCUCCAGG
rnacentral:rRNA from 1 species